ACUCAAAUGAAUAGACGGGGGCCCGCACAAGCGGUGGAGCAUGUGGUUUAAUUCGACGCAACGCGAAGAACCUUACCUGGGUUUGAACUUCAGAGGACAGCCCGUGAAAGCGGGUCUCCCUUCGGGGUCUCUGGAGAGGUGCUGCAUGGCUGUCGUCAGCUCGUGUCGUGAGAUGUUGGGUUAAGUCCCGUAACGAGCGCAACCCCUAUCCUUAGUUGCCAGCGGGUCAUGCCGGGAACUCUAAGGAAACCGCCGGUGAUAAACCGGAGGAAGGUGGGGAUGACGUCAAGUCCUCAUGGCCUUUAUGCCCAGGGCCACACACGUGCUACAAUGGACGGUACAAAGGGUUGCCAAGCCGCGAGGUGGAGCUAAUCCCAAAAAGCCGUUCUCAGUUCGGAUUGGGGGCUGCAACUCGCCCCCAUGAAGGUGGAAUCGCUAGUAAUCGCGGAUCAGCAUGCCGUGGUGAAUACGUUCCCGGGCCUUGUACACACCGCCCGU
rnacentral:rRNA from 1 species